AUUGAACGCUGGCGGCAGGCCUAACACAUGCAAGUCGAGCGGUAGAGAGAAGCUUGCUUCUCUUGAGAGCGGCGGACGGGUGGGUAAUGCUUAGGAAUCUGCCUAUUAGUGGGGGACAACAUUUCGAAAGGAAUGCUAAUACCGCAUACGUCCUACGGGAGAAAGCAGGGGAUCUUCGGACCUUGCGCUAAUAGAUGAGCCUAAGUCGGAUUAGCUAGUUGGUGGGGUAAAGGCCUACCAAGGCGACGAUCUGUAGCGGGUCUGAGAGGAUGAUCCGCCACACUGGGACUGAGACACGGCCCAGACUCCUACGGGAGGCAGCAGUGGGGAAUAUUGGACAAUGGGGGGAACCCUGAUCCAGCCAUGCCGCGUGUGUGAAGAAGGCCUUAUGGUUGUAAAGCACUUUAAGCGAGGAGGAGGCUACUGAGACUAAUACUCUUGGAUAGUGGACGUUACUCGCAGAAUAAGCACCGGCUAACUCUGUGCCAGCCGCCGCCGUAACAC
rnacentral:rRNA from 1 species